CAACGAUCCAUUAUACUGGAAGUUAAGAUUGCCACCUGGACACUUUGGGCUUCUCCUCCCUUUAAGUCAACAGGCUAAGAAUGGAAUUACAGUGUUGGCUGGGGUGAUUGACCCGGACUAUCAAGAUGAAAUUAGUCUACUACUCCACAAUGGAGUGCUGCUGUUCAGAAGUCUGAGCUGGAUGUGUAGUUGGUCAUCGUCAGCAUACAGAGGAUAACUGAAGCCACGUGUGGGAGGGAAGAUCACCAACUGGGACACAGAUGCUGAAAAGAAGGCAGCCAAGAAUGAACUCUGAGAAAAGCCAACAUUUAAGGAGUGGAUACGAGAAGAGGCAUUGUGAGCUAGACUGAAAAGGAAUGGCCAGAGUUUUGCAAAUGUAAUCAGAAGUGCAUCAUGAAAACCAACAAAGGGAGCAGUUUCAACAAAUAGGGAUGAUCAGCAACAACCUAAAAUAUUACAGAGAGAUCUAGCAAUACAAGUAUUUCAAAUUGUUCUUCAGAUGUAACAAUAUAUCCAAGUUACUGCACUUUCUUUAACCUUCUAAGAAAGAUGGCAUGUCGCAAGUUUCUUCGCACCGUGAUCUCGCUGACUUCAGGAGUGAACCUGCAGACCUUCGCAGUGAGUGUUACAGCUCUUACAUGCAACGCAUCUGCAGUUGCUCGUCCCUCCCAGCGGGUUCCUCGCUGGCCACAAGAGUGAAGCUACAAACUUUCGUGGUGAGUGUUACAGCUCAUAAAAGCUGUGCAAACCCAAAGAGCACGCACCAGCAAAAUUCAGCACAAAGAGGAAAAGAACAACACUUACACACCACAAAAAGGAACCCCAACCUGUUGCAGCCGCUGGCUCCGGCAGCCUGCUUUUAUUCCCUUAUUUGACCCCACCCACAUCCUACUGAUUGGUCCAUUUUACAGAGAGCUGAUUGGUCCAUUUUACAGAGAGCUGAUUGGUCUGUUUUGACAGGGUGCUGAUUGGUGUGUUUACAAACCUUGAGCUAGACACAGGGUGCUGAUUGGUGCAUUUACAAUCCUCCAGCUAGACAUAAAUGUUCUCCAAGACCCCACCCAACUCAGGAACCCAGCUGGCUUCCCUAGGGGAUCCAGGCGCUGGGGCCCUGGGUGGAGCUGCUUGCCCGUCCUGUGCUGCGCCUGCACAGGUUAGCCCUUCAGCGGUUGAUGGGACCGGGGGCUGUGGAGCAGGGGGCGGUGCCUGUCAGGGAGUCUCAGGCUGCAUGAGAGCCCACAGGGUGGGGGGCUCAGGCAUCGUGAGCUGCAGGUCCCCAGCCCUGCCCCAUGGGGAGGUGGCUCAGGCCCGGUGAGAAUUCAAGUGUGGGGCAGAUGGGCAGGCAGUGCUGGGCGACCUGGCGCACCCUCAGCAGCUGCUGGCCCAGGUGCUAAGCCCCUCACUGCCCGGGCCUGUGGCGCUGGCCCACCGCUCCAAGUGCGGCCCACCGAGCCCACGCCACCCAGAACUGGCGCUGGCCUGCAAAUGCUGGGCGCAUCCCUGGUUCCCGGGCGCAUCCCCGGUUCCCGUGCCUCUCCUUCCACACCUCCCCGCAAGCCGUGGGAGCUCCCGUCCUCGACCAGCCCAGAGAGGGGCUCCCACAGUGCAGCGCGGGCUGAAGGGCUCAAGUAUAGCCAGAGCGGACGCCGAGGCCGAGGAGGCAUUGAGAGCAAAGGAGGGCUGCUAACACGUUGUCACCUCUCAUCUUCUAAUUAGACCAAAGAACAAAAACAUUUGCCUAGAGUAAAUAAUUAGAUUUCCCCCAUUGAUUCCCCAUAAUCAAAAACCAAAAUAAACCUAAGAGAAAGUGUUGCUUCUAUGUCCUUGAAAAGUUGUGAAAAGGAACCAUAGUGCUUUAAUUGCAUGUUUAAGAAUCUAUUACAUUUUCCUUUUAAUGUUAUGAGAUGGAAGUUGUUUGAUGAGUCUCUGGUUCUUUGGGGAAAAUUGUGGUUCCAACCUAGAUUUUUGUAAUUCUAAACUCUAUAAUUAAGGCAAAGACUCAGUUAACAGAAUUUUACAGUUAAAGAAUGAUCAGGGAGCAAAAUUUUGGUCCCUGUAUAGUUUCCUAGGGUGGCUAUAACAAAAUGCCACAAACAUGGCAGAAUUUUAUUGUGUCAUAGUUCUGGAAAAUAGGAGUCCAAGAUUAAGGUGUUGGCAGGUUGAUUCCUUCCGAGUUUUUGAGGGCUGUGAGACAGAAUUCGUUCCAUUCCUUUUCCCCCCGAGCUUUUGCUAGUUUGCUGCAAUCUUUGGCAUUCUUUGGUUUCUAGACACAUCACCUGAUCCCUUGCCUUCAUGUGUAUGUGGUGGUGUCUCUAUUUGAGGGUCUAUGUCUAAAUUUCACCAUUUUGUAAGUACACUAGUUAUACUGAAAUAGGAGCUUCACCAGUAUAAUC
rnacentral:lncRNA from 1 species